AAAGAUGGACGCUGUACAGGCUCGGGAGAGACUCCGGCGGAGAUACCUGUUCCCGCGGGACCCGGUGGUGCAGCUGGACCGCGAGGGCUACGCCGGGCCGGAAACCUCUACACCUGUUGAGAAAAAGGAGAAACCUCUUCCAAGACUUAAUAUCCAUUCUGGAUUCUGGAUUUUGGCAUCCAUUGCUGUGACCUAUUAUGUUGAUUUCUUUCAAACCGUUAAAGAAAACUUUCACACCAGUAGUUGGUUUCUGUUUGGCGGUGCCUUGUUGCUUGUUAGCUUAUCGAUUGCAUUUUACUGCAUAGUCUAUCUGGAAUGGUAUUGUGGAAUUGAAGAUUAUGAUAUCAAGUAUCCAUUGUUGAUUCCUAUUACAACCGCUACUUUUAUUGUAGCAGGAAUUUGCUUCAAUGUUGCUUUAUGGCAUGUGUGGUCAUUUUUCACUCCACUGCUGUUGUUUACCCAGUUUAUGGGGGUUGUAAUGUUGAUCUCACUCCUUGGAUGAUUUCUAAAGGAAUCACUGAAGUUUCAUCACACUGCAGCAUCAGGUUCAGGCUUGAGCUCCCGGAUCUCAUCAUCUAAAUCAAUAAAAGGUGCCUCAUCAGGUCCUCUCAGUCUGCACACCUUUAAAGAACUGGAUUAUCUGACAUUCUAUACAAUAUCAUACUGGGCCACUACACUGAUGAUCUACAGUCAUUGGAUCUGAUGAGCAGGAAGCAGCCAGUACUUUAGAUGUCUUAUCUGAAACAGGGUGGACGAGAAAACCUGCUAAAAUUCAGGAGGCUAUAACUUUGGUGAAGUCUCUGGGGGUUCAAUGAUCUUGAACGUGUUGGCAUAUCACCUCCAAGAUGAAAGACAAGAUGCUGCUCCUUGUACUUCCUCCCAUUAAAAAAGAGGCAAAUACUUAUAGGGAUUUCUAGACGUUGGAGGCAGCAUAGACUACAUCUAAGUGUGUUACUUUGACCUAUUUACUGAGGAACUCAGGAGGCUGCCCAUUUUGAGUGGGUGUUGGAGCAAGAGAAGGCUCGGAAGCAUCUCCAGGCUGUAGUGCACACGUUCUCCCACUUGGAUCUUAUAACCCCACAAAGCCAGUGGCACUUGAAGUGUCUGUGGCAAAUAGUGGUCUUAUGCUGGAGACUAGCACAAACCACUAGGAGGGUCACAGCACAGACCACAAGGAUUUUAGAGCAAAUCCAUACCUUCUUCUGUAGAUAAUUAUUUCCCUUUUGAGAAAUAACUUCUCACUUGCUACUAGGCCCUGGUAGAGACUGAAUGUCCAUCUAUUGCAUGGACUGGAGUCAUCUGACCCACCAAACCGCACGGUUGGGCAUGCCCAGCAGUGAUAUAUUGUUGAGUAGGAGUGAUGUAGAAGACUUGAACUUGAGCAGGGUUGAAAACCAUGAAUAAGUUGCAUGCACAGGUGGCUCAGGUUCCUUUGAAACCACUCCUCCUGCAUUGUCUCCUUUCCUUUAAUUCACACCUAUGGUCUCAUGGGGUUUUUUUCAUGACUGAUGAGAAAAAGCUCAGACUUAGUUUACAGGUGGCUCUAUGUCAUAUGACAGCACCAACCAUCAUGAUAUGAUGUCCAACCAUGUGGACAGCUGCAGCAUUACAGCCCCACCCAAAGGGAUCCCUGAAGGGAAGGGUGGAAAAGAAAAAUCUUCCCAGUGGGCAGAGUGUUGAGUGGUACAUAGGGUUGUUCACUUUGUCUGGAUUUAGAGAGACGUCCAGAGUACAACUAUACAUGAACUCAUGGAUGGU